AUGGCGUGGGGUGGGGAUUUCGUAGACGGGUCCGUUAUUGCAGAGAGUACAUCUAUUAUACAGGAUGCAUAUAUAAAUGCUGGUGUUACAGUGACCUGCAAGGAAGACAUCCAGUCCCAGGAAGGCUGGAUAGAAGUGAUUUUGCCAGCUAAACGCAGGCAAGAUCCGAAGCCGGUUGCAGCCAAACUGCUGUUCAUGGCGGAAAACUACAAAGAAGUAGUCCAGAAGCGUGUCGCUUUCCUCAAACGGGGGGAUAUUUGGUCUUCCAGUCAGUCUGGCCAGGAGAAGGGGGUGGUGAAGCAAGGAAUGACCUCUGGUUCACAGAUGGCCAAGAUAGGUGAACAGCUCAAGAGGGACCUCAAACGGCAACCUACAAGACAACUCAGUUCUACUCCUGCUAGAUAUGAGUCUGAUUCUGAUGACACAUGUUGUGAUAUUUUUCAUCCUCCCAAAAAACGAAAAAUGGUGAUUAACACCAGUGAGGAGGAGGAGGACACCAUCCCUCAGGCGGAGUCUCAGCGGCCAGGGACAGUGCCUGCAGUUUUUGUUGAACUGGAUGAGGACAGUUUGAAGGCUCUAAAAGAGCUGCCAGGACUGGUGUCUUCACUCAAAACAGUCCUAAACAAAAUGGAAGAUUCACCUUUGUCUUCCAUGAUUUCCAGCCAAAGCGAAUCACCGCGCACUGGCAGUCACACUGGCAGAGAAAGACACAGGUGACUGAUCAACAAUUUCACUACCGCAUAUACAUUCCAUCUUCACUUACCUUCCAGGUGUUCAAAGCUUACCACAAGAGUCCUCUCAGUGGUCAUCU
ensembl:lncRNA